GCAGGUGUGGGAACAACUGGAAGCAAAAGGGGCGGGGCACUGAGGGACCCAGGCCUGGCUCCCACCCACAGCUGAGCCCAUUCUCUCCAGUGCUGACCCCCAGCUCUGGCCCCAGGACGAUCUCCUCCCUGCACACCCCUUACCCAGGAGUCAGGGAGCCAGGCGGGUUGGGUGGGAGGUGCAGAUAGGGACCCUCUUCAUGCACCCCUCCCAUUUGGGUUCAGGCCCUCCCACACUCCCGGCUCACAUCUUCUCCUUUGUUCUCUUCUUGCCCCACCCGACCUACAGCCUGGGGGAAAAUUAACCCACCGAGGUGCUGCUCUAUUUGCACCCUUCAGCCUUUUAUGUGUAAGGGGGAUGUUGGGGAAGCAGCUGGCAGCUUUCCUGCCUCCAGACUCCUCAGCUUCUGGGCCAAGAAGGGCCAAACUCUUGACCUGCCCUACUGGCAAUGCGCCCCCAGCACCCUCACCCACACCCCUCCCCCUACAUUCCAGCAGCCCUCUGGAGUCUACUCUUACCUCCUAGACACACACACACACACACACACACACACACACACACACACACACGAGGCACCUCCGGUUAAACAACCUUUGUCCACCUUUGUCCUGGGCCUCCUCUCUCCCUCGGGCUCCAUGCUUAGGAAUGCACCUGGGAGGCUGCCAGCAAAGGCCAAGGGGCCUCUGGGUCCCAGGCUAGCACCCCACUGCACCUCACAGGGGCAGGCAGGCCUCCAAAGGCUCUUCUGGAAUCCAAAAAGCCACUUCCUCGCUAAGCCUCUGGUUUCCCAUCUGCAAAGUGGGGAUGAUGAUUCCUGCUGCCCUUCCUGACUGAGCUGUCAGAGGAUCCAGGCUUCUAGGGGGCAGGGAAAGCUCGCAGCUCCUCACAGUGAUCUGGCUGAAACUGGGGGCUCCUGACUGAGCUCCCUCCCACCUAGAAAACCUUCCAUGCAGCCUGAUUGCUCCAACACCCACAGAGCAGGAUUCAGGUAACCUGGAGACCUUGGCACGCCAGGCUUGGGGCAGUGGGGACUGGGGCUCCACUCAGACCUCUAUGGGGCAAAUGUUUUGUUUCUCAGAACAGCCCAAGUGAAAUCAAUCCUAGACACUCGCCAUUUGGUCCCACCAAGACCAUUUAAUUUCUCUGUAAAAGUAAGCUGACAUGGAAGAACCAACUGUGAAAAUGGUGAGGUGGGAGUCUGAAUCGAUUUAGCUGUUCUCAGGGGGCACAGGGUGUUGAGGGUGGUUUUCAUCUGCCACCUGCCUCCUUGAGACCCAGCUGACCUGAGUGUGCAUGAAAUAAGACCUUCUCCUUGUGUCCACCAGGCUUGAGGGCACCCCUAAGUACCCGGCUCCUCGUCACAGCAGCAGCCCUCUCGGUUCCACAUCUGGUUCUCCUGCCGAAGCCUCUGGUUCUCGGUCCGGAGCCUCUCGACCUCAGCGGCCAGCUCCUCCACCUGGCGGCAGGACUGCUGGCCUGUGCAUGCCUGCAGCUGCUGCAGCCUCCUGGUCUCCUCCUCGGCCUGCGACAGCCGCUUCUCCAGCUCCAGGUAGUCUCGCACCAGCUCUUGCUUGCUGCGGCCAUGCAGGCUCUCGGUGCGGAAGCGCUCGUAAGCCUCAGAGAAGUCCCUCUGCUGGAACUCACCGUGCGCUCGGCCCCGCCCGUCACUGUCCCCAGCCUCACUCUCCCCACUGGAACCUGGGUGGGAGACCCCAGGGGGCACAUCCAAGUUGGGCUCUUCUGGAUCUCGGUCAUUCAUCAGGAACUGGGUGGUGUUGUAGGGGGCCACGGGCUGGCCUUUGGCGAACAUCUGUUCUCGGACCCGGGACGCCCUCUGGCUCUGCCUCUCAUCCCGCUGUUGUUUCUCAGCCCAGCUCAGCUCCAGGUAGGGCCGCCAGUGCCGUCUGCGCUUCGACGGCCGCCGACGGUGUUUCUUCCGGGCCAGUACGGCCUCUGCUGAGCAGCCCUCUGAGCUCCGGGUCCAGGGACUCCUACUGUUCCAGCCCAGGCCUCCAACAGCCCCAGCAAGAUCUUCAUCCUCUGAGUGGCUCUCUACCCGGGGUGUCAGGGGCAGGGAACCACCAGAGUCAUGAGGCUCAGGGGGUGUUUGGGGACUCCCUGGGGCACCAGAGGUCUAAAGAGAGAGAGGAGGAAGAAGGAUGGAUCAGACAGCCUGUCCCUGGAGAUGGAACCCUUCCCUCUCUACCCAGCGUGAAGCCAACCUUCCCACACUCAGUUAACUUGGUCACUCUUAGCCCCUCACCCUUUUGCAACCAUUUGUUUACAAAGUUACCUGUCUACUGUCUGUCCCCCAGCCUUCCCCAAGUAAACUCAUGGUGACAGCAG